rnacentral:rRNA from 1 species
AGGGAGCGAGCGUUAUCCGGAUUUAUUGGGUGUAAAGGGUGCGUAGACGGGUUAGCAAGUUAGUUGUGAAAUCCCUCGGCUUAACUGAGGAACUGCAACUAAAACUGCCAAUCUUGAGUGCAGGAGAGGUAAGUGGAAUUCCUAGUGUAGCGGUGAAAUGCGUAGAUAUUAGGAGGAACACCAGUGGCGAAGGCGACUUACUGGACUGUAACUGACGUUGAGGCACGAAAGCGUGGGUAUCG